rnacentral:rRNA from 1 species
AUUGAACGCUGGCGGCAGGCUUAACACAUGCAAGUCGAACGAGUGGCGGACGGGUGAGUAAUGUCUGGGAAACUGCCUGAUGGAGGGGGAUAACUACUGGAAACGGUAGCUAAUACCGCAUACCAUCAGAUGUGCCCAGAUGGGAUUAGCUAGUUGGUGGGGUAAUGGCUCACCUAGGCGACGAUCCCUAGCUGGUCUGAGAGGAUGACCAGCAACACUGGAACGGAGCAACGGUCCAGACUCCUACGGGAGUCAGCAGUGGGGAAUAUUGCAAAAGGGGCGAAAGCCUGAUGCAUCAAUGCCGCGUGUGUGAAGAAGGCUUUCGGGUUGAAAAGUACUUUAAGCGGGGAGGCGUUACUCGCAGAAGAAGCAACGGCUAACUCCGUGCCAGCAGCCGCGGUAAUUC